UACGAAGGGGGCUAGCGUUGUUCGGAAUUACUGGGCGUAAAGCGUGCGCAGGCGGCCAUCCAAGUCAGUGGUGAAAGCCCGGAGCUCAACUCCAGAACUGCCUUCGAUACUGAGAGUCUCGAGUCCGGGAGAGGUGAGUGGAACUGCGAGUGUAGAGGUGAAAUUCGUAGAUAUUCGCAAGAACACCAGUGGCGAAGGCGGCUCACUGGCCCGGUACUGACGCUGAGGUGCGAAAGCGUGGGGAGCGAACAGG
rnacentral:rRNA from 1 species